UACGGAGGGUGCAAGCGUUAUCCGGAUUCAUUGGGUUUAAAGGGUGCGUAGGCGGGUUAUUAAGUCAGUGGUGAAAGCCCAUAGCUCAACUAUGGAACUGCCAUUGAUACUGAUAGCCUUGAAUAUGAUUGAAGUGGGCGGAAUAUGACAUGUAGCGGUGAAAUGCAUAGAUAUGUCAUAGAACACCGAUAGCGAAGGCAGCUCACUAAGUCAUCAUUGACGCUGAGGCACGAAAGCGUGGGGAGCGAAC
rnacentral:rRNA from 1 species